rnacentral:lncRNA from 1 species
UUGGUUAUAUCUUAAGUGUGUACAAUAUUGGCAUAUUGACAUGAUUUCUUAUGCUAACCCUAACCCUCAUGCCAUGAGGAACUUGUGUUUAUUUGUCCUUUCUUUGAUUUUUCAAGGUUUGGAUUCGAGUUCAAAUCCUUUUCCAUACGGGGAAGAUGAUACAAGUCAAAUGGGCAUCAAUGCUUUUGACCACAAAACUCGAGGCC